rnacentral:lncRNA from 1 species
UUUGUCAACAAAAAAAAAAAAGAUUAAUGAUUGAAUAUAAUUGAAUAAUUGAUGGGCCAAGCUAACACCUUUUAUACAAUCACGACAAACAUAAAGUCUCAAUUAAUCCAAUUUUCUUUUUUUCAUAUUUGCUUGGAUUCUCAUUUCAAAGAACCAACUAAUGGUCACUUCCAUUUUUCAAUCAUCAAAUUAUCCAAAGGGACUCUAGGCACCACCACAAAGAGAUAAUAAAGCACUUCUAGACAUCACCAAUCUCUUGAAUUCAUACCAAACAAUGAUUUACUCUUACACCUUUACAAUCAAACUAAAAACAAACAUGAAUCACAUAACAACAUCUCAUACAUAACAUAAAACAUUACCAAUAAUU